AAGACAGUUCUUCGAUUGACAAACGCUAACGAGCGCCGCAGCAAAUCCCGACGCCGCUUUCUCGUGAAUCUGAGGAGGAGAUGGUGGCGGUGGAGCUCUCGAGGGUUUUGUGUUCGGAAGUGGUAACGAGAUUCCUCUAGGGAAGGUAAGGUUUUUGUGGUGGGAGAAGGAAGAUGGAGAAGACGAUGUUGGUGGUUUUGAAAGAUUUGUCGAGGUUGAGUUAACGGUGGGUUUAAAGCGGCCGGAGAAGGACCUACGAGGUAGUGGAGGGAGGUUCAAGGAUGAAAUGGAUGCUGAGAGAGUCUCCAUGGAAGACGUUUCGAUAUUAUCCACCUGAACGAGAAAUGAAUGUUUCAAACAUUAUCAUAUAUCUUUUUCCAUAAUAUGCAUUUUGUUGAAUAAAAAUAUGGAAUAUCAGUAAAAUAUUGUUUUAUACUGCCCCCAUAUACCCAAAACACUUAAUGGGCCUAAUAUUUGUUACCUAUGGUCCAAUAUUAGCACUUGACAUUAAAAAGAAUAUAGAAAGUAUAUCUAUCUGAACACGUGAUUUGUGCAAAAGAUAUAAAGAAUCAAAUACUUGUCUUCGGUUUAUGGAUAUACUUUGUGUGAAUAAGGUCUAUAUCGUGUAGGCUAAACUUGUCUGCAACUGACAUGUUCCUCUACUUAUAUAACUUAAGCUUACUCAUGCCUAUCUUAAUCAAACGUACAUGUACUAUUAGUAUCCUGCUAUACAACACGAGCUAUUAGUAAAAUGUUUAAUAAUCGACAAUCUCGCCGGAGAUUCCGGCUCGGUAACUUAGCUAGGCUUGUCCAGUUACGGCAAAGCGUAAGCAACCAACCACCAUCACCGCAACAACCGCCAUUGCCACCAAAGGAUCUUAAAGAAGUUUUGUUACAAUCGCCACCACAGUCACAAGCAUUUCAGCGGCCUCCAUAUCAAUUGCCAUCGCCAAUGCCAUCACCAUCAACACUCCCACCAUCUAUAUCAAAACCUGGUGAAAAUCACCAGUCUUCGCCACGGCUGGAACCAAAGUCAUCACCACGGUCACCAGCAUUUCAGACACAACCGCAGUCACCUUCACGUCUGCCCCCUCCAAAUCAGUUUUCAUCUCCCAUGCCAUCACCAUCAACACUUCCGCCGCGGCCUGAACCGAAAGCAUCACCACCGUCACUUUUAUCACCAAAAUCAAAGGACGAAUCUCAACAGCAGACAACAACAUCAUCAACGUCUCCUUCGCCGCAAAAACCGAGCCUAUCUCAGCGGUUACCUCUACGAUCGGUGCCUCCUCAACCUCCGGAACCAAAGUCACCAGCAUUUCAGCCACAACCGCAGUCACCUUCAUUACUGCCCCCUUCACCAUCAACAUUUCCACCGUCUCUUACAGAAUCUAGUGAAAAUCCGCCACGUGUAGUACCAGAACCAAAAGCCUCACCACCGCCACUUUUACCACCAAACUCAAAGGAAGUGCUUCACCCGCAGACAACGUCACCACUAACACCAGAAGCAAAAAAACUACAGCCCCUUCCGUCAACGCUAAGCGCUCCUUUAGUAUAUCAAUCCCCACUAUCUUCAACACCGUCUAAAUCAAUUGAUGAAACUCGGUUCCAAUCACCGCCCCCGUCGCAAGUAUCACCACCCUCAUUAACAGAAUCCCAUGAAUCUAAGCUGUCAAAAUCUACUGAGGAUACUCAGUUCCGAUCACUAUCUCCGUCGCUGGCCUCACCACCAUCAUUGUUAAAAUCCGAUGAAUCUCAGACGGCUUUACCGCCACCAGAAACCAAAACUCCGCUGUCUCCACCCUCAACGCUUAAAGAAUUUCAGCCGCAGCUGUCACCACCGCUUCCACCGUCUAAAUCCAAUGUUGAAACUCAUUUCAAGUCUUUGCUUCCUUCGCAAGCAUCACCACCAUUAUCAUCAUCGUCUAGGUCUGGUGAACAUCAACCACCUUUAGCAACAGAAGCUAAAAUCCGUCCAUUGCCACCGUCGUUUUUAGAAACCGGCGAAAAUCAGCCGCUUUUAGCACCAUCAGAUAUUAAAGCUCCAAAGUCAACGCUAAAGGCCGCAGAAGAAUCCCUGCCCGAACCGCCUACACUGCUUUUGCCGUCUAAAGUAACUAUGUCCCAAUCAUCGCCUCCACUGCCACCGUCAUUAUCAGAAUCUGGUGAACUUCAACAGCCUUUGCCACCGACAGAAUAUAAAAUUCCACCACCACCACCGCCAUUGUUAGAAUCCGGUGAAUCUCAGCUGCCUUUACCACCACUACCAGAAACCAAAAUUCAACCGUCAAAGCUAAACGCUGCUAAAGAAUUCCAGUCUCCACCACUUGUUCCGUCUAAAGCCAUUGAUGAAUCUCGUCUGCCGCAUUUGCCACCAACAGAAACCAAAACUCCACCGUCAACGCUAUACGCUACUGAAGAAUCCCUGCCUCCACCGGUUAAAGCCACAGAUGAAACUCUGUCCCAAUCGUCAGAAACUGGUGAACCUCAACAUCCCUUGCCACCACCAAAAGCUAAAAUUCCACUGCCGCCACCAUCAACGCAAAACGCUGCUGUAAAACCCCAGUUUCAACCGCUUCCUGCCUCUACAUUCAAUGAUGAGACUCCGUUCAAAUCAUCGCCUCAACCACCACUAGAAUCUAAAAUUACACCGUCGAAGCUAAACACUAAUGAAGAAUCCACGCGUCAACCGUCUAAAUCCAUUGAUGAAACUCGGUCCCAAUCAUCACCUCCUUGGCAAUCAUCUAUACAGCCACGAGAAGCCAAAACUCCACCGUCAAAGCUAAACGCUAGUAAAGAAGAAUCCCAUGUCCAACCGCUUCCUCCCUCGCUGCCACUACCUGAAUCUAAUAUGCCACCACCACCACCAUCGCCCCAAACUAAACCUAACCCAAUCGAAUCUCGCACUUCAAAAGAUCAUCGCAAGGAUCGAAACCAAUAUCUAGAUAAACCAGACGCCGAACUCAGGGCUGAGAUCACCGGGGAAGUUAAGAAAACACCGACGAUGAUGAUGUUCAUCAACAGCAAUGUUCAAGGGAUCAACACAUCACUCUCGCUCGAUUCUGUGAAACUAAUACUCCUAUAUGUGUUUUGAUUUCAACAGGCACCAGACCAGGUCAAGAAUCAUUUCGGAGAAGCUUGUAUGAGUCUGAGCUCAGCUUCUUCAAAAAUCUUGAGAGAGUUAGCGGAUAUGAUCAAGAACACGAGAAAAUCUUCGAAGAUGGAUUACCUGGUGUUUGAUAUGAACUCAGCAGUACAAGAGCUUCAAGAAACCUUAAAAAUUGUUCCCAUAGAAAUCAACAGACCUGAAGACGAUGUUAAAUCUGAAAAGGACAAGGAAGGAGACAGAACCAUGGCGAUGAGCCUACAUGAAAUCCUUCCAGUUGCCACUUUGGUUUCGUUGUUGAUCGAAAACGCAGCUAGGAUUCAAACAACCGUCGAAGCAGUGGAUGAACUGGCAAAUCUUGCAGAUUUCAAACAAGAUUCAAAGAAGAAAACAGGAGGCAACAACGCUUAACAAGCACCACUAAGUUCUUAAAUUACUUUCAUAUUACACAUUGAAAACUCUUAACAAACAUGAAGAUUUUAAACCUGAGUUUUCAUGUAUAUAUAAAAACCUAUUAGUAUAUGAUUUUGCUUUGUUCUGUAACCUAAGGUUUAUUCGGCAUGGUUUUGAAGGCCAAAAAAGCAAGUUAUGGAACUAAAUAUUUACAACGUUUAAGAGUCCAUCCACAAUGAAACAUAAACAAAUUUCACCAUAGAAAACAAGAAUGCGAUUAUAGAUGGAUAAAACACAAAAGUAAACUUUGACUUUGUUGAUGUAAUCUUAGUUACAAUCUUUGGUUGUUUCAUUAAGUAACCCAUACAAGAUUUGUAACAACAAGUUCAUUACAGAUUCUCUCAAAUUCCAUUAAGACAUCAAACACAAUCCCAGAUUUGCCUCUUGUAACCAACAUCUUGACCAAGCCCUUCAAGUGUUUACCAAACUUACCUCUCUCAACAACUUCAUUGACUAAGCCCUUGUUAUUGUUCCUCUUCUUGUCUUCUCCCACAAGAAACGCCAUCAGCCUUCUGACAUCUUCUUGAGCCCGACCAAGACAGUUCUUCGAUUGACAAACGCUAACGAGCGCCGCAGCAAAUCCCGACGCCGCUUUCUCGUGAAUCUGAGGAGGAGAUGGUGGCGGUGGAGCUCUCGAGGGUUUUGUGUUCGGAAGUGGUAACGAGAUUCCUCUAGGGAAGGUAAGGUUUUUGUGGUGGGAGAAGGAAGAUGGAGAAGACGAUGUUGGUGGUUUUGAAAGAUUUGUCGAGGUUGAGUUAACGGUGGGUUUAAAGCGGCCGGAGAAGGACCUACGAGGUAGUGGAGGGAGGUUCAAGGAUGAAAUGGAUGCUGAGAGAGUCUCCAUGGAAGACGUUUCGAUAUUAUCCAC
rnacentral:lncRNA from 1 species